AAGAGACCCAUACAGAAAGUAGAAAUGGGUACCUCAAGUCAGAAUGACGUUGACAUGAGUUGUAUUCCUCAGGAAACUUUGAAUCAGAUCAAUAAAGCUUCACCAAGAAGGUUGCCCAGGAAACGGGCACAGAAGAGAUCAGUGGGAUCUGAUGAGUAAAUGUUCCUUUGUGCAACAAUUCAGUCUUUGCUUAACCUGCCCUAAUGUUUUUCGGCCUGAUGGGAAUUAGUGCAGAGAAGCCAUGUCACCGUAGAAGGCAACUACUACUUAUGUGUGGACUGAGAAAUCAGAGUCUGUGGCGAUAAUAUUGCUGAAAAUGCACUGCAUUCGUUUUUCUAAUGUAAAAAUCUGGUUUUUUUAAAACCAUUAAAAUCUGUGUGUGUGUGUGUGUGUGUGUGUGUGUGUGUGUGGAUGUGAGCAGUUGGUUUUACCAGAAUCGUUGUUGAACUACCUGAAAUGAGCCUUUAGAAUACUAAAUAUUAUGCUUUUGUCUCUUCCUUUUUGACAUUUUCUGAUUUUCCUCCCCCCCAAAACUCAAUGAAUAUUUGCUCUAUAUGAUUGUUGAUGUCCUGCCUUGAAUAGUUUUAAAGGGAGGAAUUUGUUUCUUUCUUGGAAUAGCUCAAAUUUCAAUUGAUGGCACAAAUUAGUAUUUUGUUGUUGUUGUUUAACAACUAGUAUUCUAAAGGCACAAGCAGGAUUAGCUGCUUUUUGGCAAUAGAAUUGUUUGGUAUUUUGCUGCUGUUUACUAUAAGGCACACCUUCAGAAAACUUCCCAAAUGAAUUCAAGCAAUUUUGGGAUCUCUCUAGCAAACAAAAUUGUGAAACAUGAAAAUUCUGCUGACUUUGAUAUGUAAAACUUAACCCCUUUUUUAACAAAAAGAAAACAGUACAUUUGUGUAAA